rnacentral:rRNA from 1 species
GACGAACGCUGGCGGCGUGCUUAACACAUGCAAGUCGAACGGAAAGGCCUUGCUUGCAGGGUGCUCGAGUGGCGAACGGGUGAGUAACACGUGGGUGAUCUGCCCCUUACUUUGGGAUAAGCCUGGGAAACUGGGUCUAAUACUGGAUAGGACCAUGCUGUAGGUGGUGUGGUGGAAAGAUUAGUUUCGGUAAGGGAUGAGCUCGCGGCCUAUCAGCUUGUUGGUGGGGUAAUGGCCUACCAAGGCGUCGACGGGUAGCCGGCCUGAGAGGGUGGACGGCCGCAUUGGGACUGAGAUACGGCCCAGACGCCUACGGGGGGCAGCAGUGGGGAAUAUUGCACAAUGGGCGCAAGCCUGAUGCAGCGACGCCGCGUGGGGGAUGACGGCCUUCGGGUUGUAAACUCCUUUCAGCCAUGACGAAGCCCUUGUGGUGACGGUAGUGGUAGAAGAAGCACCGGCUAACUACGUG